rnacentral:rRNA from 1 species
AUUGAACGCUGGCGGCAGGCCUAACACAUGCGAGUCGAGCGGAUGAAGGGAGCUUGCUCCUGGAUUCAGCGGCGGACGGGUGAGUAAUGCCUAGGAAUCUGCCUGGUAGUGGGGGAUAACGUCCGGAAACGGGCGCUAAUACCGCAUACGUCCUGAGGGAGAAAGUGGGGGAUCUUCGGACCUCACGCUAUCAGAUGAGCCUAGGUCGGAUUAGCUAGUUGGUGGGGUAAAGGCCUACCAAGGCGACGAUCCGUAACUGGUCUGAGAGGAUGAUCAGUCACACUGGAACUGAGACACGGUCCAGACUCCUACGGGAGGCAGCAGUGGGGAAUAUUGGACAACGGGCGAAAGCCUGAUCCAGCCAUGCCGCGUGUGUGAAGAAGGUCUUCGGAUUGUAAAGCACUUUAAGUUGGGAGGAAGGGCAGUAAGUUAAUACCUUGCUGUUUUGACGUUACCAACAGAAUAAGCACCGGCUAACUUCGUG